rnacentral:rRNA from 1 species
UACGUAGGGGGCUAGCGUUAUCCGGAAUCAUUGGGCGUAAAGAGCGUGUAGGCGGUCCGGUAAGUCCGCUGUGAAAGUCGGGGGCUCAACCCUCGAAUGCCGGUGGAUACUGUCGGGCUAGAGUGCGGAAGAGGCGAGUGGAAUUCCUGGUGUAGCGGUGAAAUGCGCAGAUAUCAGGAGGAACACCUAUUGCGAAGGCAGCUCGCUGGGACGUAACUGACGCUGAGACGCGAAAGCGUGGGGAGCAAACAGG